ensembl:lncRNA H19 H19 imprinted maternally expressed transcript
CUGCCAAGCAGAGCGCACAGUGUUCCUGGAGUCUCGCUGCCCAGAUGCCACGGAAUCAGUUGAAGGACGUGGCAGCUGGUUGGACGAGGGGAGCUGGUGGGCAGGGUUUGAUCCCAGGGCCUGGGCAACGGAGGUGUAGCUGGCAGCAGCGGGCAGGUGAGGACCCCAUCUGCCGGGCAGGUGAGUCCCUUCCCUCCCCAGGCCUCGCUUCCCCAGCCUUCUGAAAGAAGGAGGUUUAGGGGAUCGAGGGCUGGCGGGGAGAAGCAGACACCCUCCCAGCAGAGGGGCAGGAUGGGGGCAGGAGAGUUAGCAAAGGUGACAUCUUCUCGGGGGGAGCCGAGACUGCGCAAGGCUGGGGGGUUAUGGGCCCGUUCCAGGCAGAAAGAGCAAGAGGGCAGGGAGGGAGCACAGGGGUGGCCAGCGUAGGGUCCAGCACGUGGGGUGGUACCCCAGGCCUGGGUCAGACAGGGACAUGGCAGGGGACACAGGACAGAGGGGUCCCCAGCUGCCACCUCACCCACCGCAAUUCAUUUAGUAGCAGGCACAGGGGCAGCUCCGGCACGGCUUUCUCAGGCCUAUGCCGGAGCCUCGAGGGCUGGAGAGCGGGAAGACAGGCAGUGCUCGGGGAGUUGCAGCAGGACGUCACCAGGAGGGCGAAGCGGCCACGGGAGGGGGGCCCCGGGACAUUGCGCAGCAAGGAGGCUGCAGGGGCUCGGCCUGCGGGCGCCGGUCCCACGAGGCACUGCGGCCCAGGGUCUGGUGCGGAGAGGGCCCACAGUGGACUUGGUGACGCUGUAUGCCCUCACCGCUCAGCCCCUGGGGCUGGCUUGGCAGACAGUACAGCAUCCAGGGGAGUCAAGGGCAUGGGGCGAGACCAGACUAGGCGAGGCGGGCGGGGCGGAGUGAAUGAGCUCUCAGGAGGGAGGAUGGUGCAGGCAGGGGUGAGGAGCGCAGCGGGCGGCGAGCGGGAGGCACUGGCCUCCAGAGCCCGUGGCCAAGGCGGGCCUCGCGGGCGGCGACGGAGCCGGGAUCGGUGCCUCAGCGUUCGGGCUGGAGACGAGGCCAGGUCUCCAGCUGGGGUGGACGUGCCCACCAGCUGCCGAAGGCCAAGACGCCAGGUCCGGUGGACGUGACAAGCAGGACAUGACAUGGUCCGGUGUGACGGCGAGGACAGAGGAGGCGCGUCCGGCCUUCCUGAACACCUUAGGCUGGUGGGGCUGCGGCAAGAAGCGGGUCUGUUUCUUUACUUCCUCCACGGAGUCGGCACACUAUGGCUGCCCUCUGGGCUCCCAGAACCCACAACAUGAAAGAAAUGGUGCUACCCAGCUCAAGCCUGGGCCUUUGAAUCCGGACACAAAACCCUCUAGCUUGGAAAUGAAUAUGCUGCACUUUACAACCACUGCACUACCUGACUCAGGAAUCGGCUCUGGAAGGUGAAGCUAGAGGAACCAGACCUCAUCAGCCCAACAUCAAAGACACCAUCGGAACAGCAGCGCCCGCAGCACCCACCCCGCACCGGCGACUCCAUCUUCAUGGCCACCCCCUGCGGCGGACGGUUGACCACCAGCCACCACAUCAUCCCAGAGCUGAGCUCCUCCAGCGGGAUGACGCCGUCCCCACCACCUCCCUCUUCUUCUUUUUCAUCCUUCUGUCUCUUUGUUUCUGAGCUUUCCUGUCUUUCCUUUUUUCUGAGAGAUUCAAAGCCUCCACGACUCUGUUUCCCCCGUCCCUUCUGAAUUUAAUUUGCACUAAGUCAUUUGCACUGGUUGGAGUUGUGGAGACGGCCUUGAGUCUCAGUACGAGUGUGCGUGAGUGUGAGCCACCUUGGCAAGUGCCUGUGCAGGGCCCGGCCGCCCUCCAUCUGGGCCGGGUGACUGGGCGCCGGCUGUGUGCCCGAGGCCUCACCCUGCCCUCGCCUAGUCUGGAAGCUCCGACCGACAUCACGGAGCAGCCUUCAAGCAUUCCAUUACGCCCCAUCUCGCUCUGUGCCCCUCCCCACCAGGGCUUCAGCAGGAGCCCUGGACUCAUCAUCAAUAAACACUGUUACAGCAA